rnacentral:rRNA from 1 species
GACGAGCGCUGGCGGCGUGCUUAACACAUGCGAGUCGAACGAUGAAGCCUAGCUUGCUAGGUGGAUUAGUGGCGAACGGGUGAGUAAUACGUGAGUAACCUACCUUUAACUCUGGGAUAAGCCUGGGAAACUGGGUCUAAUACCGGAUACGACCAAUCUCCGCAUGGGGUGUUGGUGGAAAGCGUUAUGUAGUGGUUAUAGAUGGGCUCACGGCCUAUCAGCUUGUUGGUGAGGUAACGGCUCACCAAGGCGACGACGGGUAGCCGGCCUGAGAGGGUGACCGGCCACACUGGGACUGAGACACGGCCCAGACUCCUACGGGAGGCAGCAGUGGGGAAUAUUGCACAACGGGCGCAAGCCUGAUGCAGCGACGCCGCGUGAGGGAUGACGGCCCUCGGGUUGUAAACCUCUGUUAGCAGGGAAGAAGAGAGAUUGACGGUACCUGCAGAGAAAGCGCCGGCUAACUACGUGCCAGCAGCCGCGGUAAUACGUAGGGCGCGAGCGUUGUCCGGAAUUAUUGGGCGUAAAGAGCUUGUAGGGCGGUUUGUCGCGUCUGCUGUGAAAGGCCGGAGCUUAACUCCGUGUAUUGCAGUGGGUACGGGCAGACUAGAGUGCAGUAGGGGAGACUGGAAUUCCUGGUGUAGCGGUGGAAUGCGCAGAUAUCAGGAGGAACACCGAUGGCGAAGGCAGGUCUCUGGGCUGUAACUGACGCUGAGAAGCGAAAGCAUGGGGAGCGAACAGGAUUAGAUACCCUGGUAGUCCAUGCCGUAAACGUUGGGCACUAGGUGUGGGGGACAUUCCACGUUUUCCGCGCCGUAGCUAACGCAUUAAGUGCCCCGCCUGGGGAGUACGGCCGCAAGGCUAAAACUCAAAGAAAUUGACGGGGGCCCGCACAAGCGGCGGAGCAUGCGGAUUAAUUCGAUGCAACGCGAAGAGCCUUACCAAGGCUUGACAUAUACUGGACUGCAUCAGAGAUGGUGUUUCCCUUCGGGGCUGGUAUACAGGUGGUGCAUGGUUGUCGUCAGCUCGUGUCGUGAGAUGUUGGGUUAAGUCCCGCAACGAGCGCAACCCUCGUUCUAUGUUGCCAGCACGUUAUGGUGGGGACUCAUAGGAGACUGCCGGGGUCAACUCGGAGGAAGGUGGGGAUGACGUCAAAUCAUCAUGCCCCUUAUGUCUUGGGCUUCACGCAUGCUACAAUGGCCGGUACAGAGGGUUGCGAUACUGCGAGGUGGAGCUAAUCCCUAAAAGCCGGUCUCAGUUCGGAUUGGGGUCUGCAACUCGACCCCAUGAAGUCGGAGUCGCUAGUAAUCGCAGAUCAGCAACGCUGCGGUGAAUACGUUCCCGGGCCU